rnacentral:rRNA from 1 species
GACGAACGCUGGCGGCGUGCUUAAUACAUGCAAGUCGAACGGAAAGGCCCUGCUUUUGUGGGGUUGUCGAUAGGCGAAGGGGUGAGUAAAACGCGAGUAAACCGCCCUUGACUUUGGGAUAACUUCAGGAGACUCGGGCUAAUAUCGGAUAGGAGCUACUGAAGCAUGGGGUGGGAUGGAAAGUUACGGCGGUUGGGGAUGGACUCGCAGGUUAUCAGCCUGAUGGUGAGGUAGUUGCGUCCAAAGGUUUUGAAGGGUAGCCUGCCUGGGAGAUUGAACGGCCACAUUGGUACUACGAUACGGCCCAGACUCCUACGGGAGGCAGCAGUGGGGAAUAUUGCACAAUGGGCGGAAGCCUGAUGCAGCAACGCCGCGUGCGGGAUGACGGCCUUCGGGUUGUAAACAGCUUUCGCCUGUACCGAAGCGUUAGUGACGGUAAUGGGUAAAGAAGCACCGGCUAACUACGUG